AAGAAGGCCUUCGGGUUGUAAGCCCUUUUGUACGGGAAGAAGAGCUUCUGGUUAACAACCGGGAGUCAUGACGGUACCGUAAGAAUAAGCACCGGCUAACUUCGUGC
rnacentral:rRNA from 1 species